ACGGGGGGUGCAAGCGUUGUUCGGAAUUAUUGGGCGUAAAGCGCGUGUAGGCGGUUUGUUAAGUCUGAUGUGAAAGCCCCGGGCUCAACCUGGGAAGUGCAUUGGAAACUGGCAGACUUGAAUACGGGAGAGGGUAGUGGAAUUCCUGGUGUAGGAGUGAAAUCAGUAGAUAUCAGGAGGAACACCGGUGGCGAAGGCAGCUAACAGUAUCGAUAUGGACGCUGCGGCGCGUGAGCGUUUGUAGUAAAAAG
rnacentral:rRNA from 1 species